GAAAGAUUAGUUAAAAUAUAAUAAAAGCUUGUCAGGCUUUAGUAUCUAGCUAUUUAGAAUUUUUCU
rnacentral:tRNA from 1 species